AUUCUAUAUAUUCUUUUGUGAACAAGAAGUAAUAACAAUAAGUAAAAGGAACAUCUACUUUUGCUUUGGACGAGGUUACUAACAUCAUUUGCCUGAUUCGUGGAUUACGACAAAAUUUAUCAAAAAGCCGGUUUUUCGCAGCAAUUUCUUCGAGCAGUAAAACGUUAAAAAUAUCAUUUUUUCAGUAAAUCAUGUAAAGAAAAUAGGCAACCACAGUAAAAGGUGAUGAAAGUCUACGAGUUUACAUGUUCCCUUCAUCAAUCAAGAGGCCCCAUUUUUCGCUUCUUCUAAUGGAACACAAUGGCUCAAAGCAACAGCCUCAAGAUGUGGCGGCCUUGUUGAGCCCAAACAUAGCACAGGCCAAGCUGGAACAGGUGAAGGAUGAUAGUAAAAAGAGGCAAUUAGCCCCCAAAAGAAGCUCUAACAAAGAUAGGCAUAAGAAAGUUGAAGGGAGAGGUAGAAGAAUUAGGAUACCAGCUUUAUCUGCAGCUAGAAUUUUUCAGUUGACAAAAGAGUUGGGUCAUAAAACUGACGGAGAGACAAUUCAGUGGCUUUUACAGCAGGCCGAGGGAUCAAUUAUUGCUGCAACAGGUACCGGGACAAUCCCGGCAUCAACUAUUACAGCUGCAGGGAGCUCUGUUUCAGAACAGGGGAGCUCUGUCUCGUCCGGUGUCUAUGCAAAAUUCAAUGAGAUCGGGGCACGAAUCGGAAUGAGGAAUCAUUUGGCCAUGAUCGGUGAAGAUUUUGGUAGAUCCCAUAUUCCAUCCGGGGUGUGGCCUUCUUUCGGUGGUUUCGGAUCUGAAAUUCUGCAGAAUUCUAAUGUUUUAAGCUCGAACCGUAUGCCUAAACUCGGUUAUCAUGGGUUAGAAUUCCCCAAUUCAUUGGAUAUCAGUAACCAUGUGCCAGGUCUAGAGCUUGGUCUUUCUCAGGAGGGUCAUAUUGGAGGUCUGAAUCUUCAAGCUUUGAACCAGCUUUACCAGCAAAUUGGACAGAAUGGAGAUCCCACUAAGGAUAAUUCUCAAGGAUCAAGGCAGUAGAGUCUCACUAUUAUCAGGACUAUAUGUAAGGUAGCAUCUUUUAAGGUUUGUUUUUGAAAGUAUCAAUGUUCUGAAUUAUAUCGUUCUUGUGAAUCCAAUUCACGCCAAAUGGAUUAGAAUUGGCUGCAAGAACCGUUGGUGGUUUUUGCUGCGUAGCUAAAUCAAAUGUCCACAAGGAGGUACGAUAUUUUUUUUACUCGAAUUAGAUCUACAAUUCUGGGAUUUUCUCAGUUUUUGUUAACACCCUUUUUUGGUUGUCACUUGCAGUUUGGACUACACGUUUAGCAGCAAGGUGCGAUGAGUUUGGUUGUCAACACCUUUUUCGUUUCUGGUUUUUCUUAAACAAUUUUGAUGAAUGCUGGCCAAACAUAUUGGCUUUGUACUUAAAUACAAUGAGUUUUAGUUGUUUGCUUGUAUGUUGAAACUAGGAAGUUUCUCAAGCAUACUUUGUAACAGUUUCUGAUACCUAUGAAUAUAUAUGUCAGUUGGGAUACCCGACUUUCUUUCGCAAUACUCUCAGGCUUAAGUUUCACAUUCAUUCGUGUAAAGCAUAUGUCCUGUCUCCCGGUCUGGUCUUCUCUU
rnacentral:lncRNA from 1 species